CCUACGGGCGGCAGCAGUGAGGAAUAUUGGUCAAUGGUCGGGAGACUGAACCAGCCAAGCCGCGUGAGGGAUGAAGGUACAGAGUAUCGUAAACCUCUUUUGUCAGGGAACAAAGGCGGGGACGUGUCCCCGGAUGAGUGUACCUGAAGAAAAAGCAUCGGCUAACUCCGUGCCAGCAGCCGCGGUAAUACGGAGGAUGCGAGCGUUAUCCGGAUUUAUUGGGUUUAAAGGGUGCGCAGGCGGUCUGUUAAGUCAGCGGUAAAAGCCCGGGGCCCAACCCCGGCCUGCCGUUGAAACUGGCAGUCUCGAGUUGGAGAGAAGUAUGCGGAAUGCGCGGUGUAGCGGUGAAAUGCAUAGAUAUCGCGCAGAACUCCGAUUGCGAAGGCAGCAUGCCGGCUCCACACUGACGCUGAGGCACGAAAGCGUGGGUAUCGAACAGGAUUAGAUACCCGUGUAGUC
rnacentral:rRNA from 1 species